CCUACGGGUGGCAGCAGUGAGGAAUAUUGGUCAAUGGCCGGAAGGCUGAACCAGCCAAGCCGCGUGAGGGAGGAAGGCGCAGAGCGUCGCAGACCUCUUUUGCCGGGGGACAAAAGGCCGGACGGGUCCGGUUCUGAGGGUACCCGGAGAAAAAGCAUCGGCUAACUCCGUGCCAGCAGCCGCGGUAAUACGGAGGAUGCGAGCGUUAUCCGGAUUCAUUGGGUUUAAAGGGUGCGCAGGCGGGCCUUUAAGACGGCGGUGAAAUCGCGGGGCGAAACCCCGCCGCGCCGUCGGAACUGGGGGCCUGGAGUGGGGGGGAGGGAUGCGGAAUGAGCGGUGUAGCGGUGAAAUGCAUAGAGAUCGCGCAGAACCCCGAUUGCGAAGGCAGCGGGCCGUGCCGCCACUGACGCUGAGGCACGAAAGCGCGGGGAUCGAACAGGAUUAGAUACCCGUGUAGUC
rnacentral:rRNA from 1 species